UACAUGGCUCGUCUCAAAGAUUAAGCCAUGCAUGUGUAAGUAUAAAUAUUUAACUUUGAAACUGCGAAUGGCUCAUUAUAUCAGUUAUAGUUUAUUUGUAUGAAAUGUACUACUUGGAUAACCGUAGUAAUUCUAGAGCUAAUACAUGAUAAAAUCCUCGACUUUGAAGAGGUGUAUUUAUUAGAAUGAAACCAAUAGACUUCGGUCUGUUUGUGAGUAAUAAUAACUAAUCGUAUCGCAUGCUUAGGUAGCGAUAUGUCUUUCAAGUUUCUGCCCUAUCAGCUUUGGAUGGUAGUGUAUUGGACUACCAUGGCAGUAACGGGAUAACGAAGAAUUUGGGUUCGAUUUCGGAGAGGGAGCCUGAGAGAUGGCUACCACAUCCAAGGAAGGCAGCAGGCGCGUAAAUUACCCAAUCCUGACAUAGGGAGGUAUGGACAAUAAAUCACAAUGCGGAACUAUUAGUUUUGCAAUUGGAUUGAGAACAAUGUACAAAUGUUAUCGAUAAACAAUUGGAGGGCAAGUCUGGUGCCAGCAGCCGCGGUAAUUCCAGCUCCAAUAGCGGUA
rnacentral:rRNA from 1 species